UACGGAGGGAGCUAGCGUUGUUCGGAAUUACUGGGCGUAAAGCGCACGUAGGCGGCUUUGUAAGUUAGGGGUGAAAGCCUGGAGCUCAACUUCAGAAUUGCCCUUAAGACUGCAUCGCUUGAAUCCAGGAGAGGUGAGUGGAAUUCCGAGUGUAGAGGUGAAAUUCGUAGAUAUUCGCAAGAACACCAGUGGCGAAGGCGGCUCACUGGCCCGGUACUGACGCUGAGGCACGAAAGCGUGGGGAGCAAACAGG
rnacentral:rRNA from 1 species